rnacentral:rRNA from 1 species
GACGAACGCUGGCGGCGUGCCUAAUACAUGCAAGUAGAACGCUGAAGAGAGGAGCUUGCUCUUCUUGGAUGAGUUGCGAACGGGUGAGUAACGCGUAGGUAACCUGCCUUGUAGCGGGGGAUAACUAUUGGAAACGAUAGCUAAUACCGCAUAACAAUGGAUGACACAUGUCAUUUAUUUGAAAGGGGCAAUUGCUCCACUACAAGAUGGACCUGCGUUGUAUUAGCUAGUAUGUGAGGUAAUGGCUCACCUAGGCGACGAUACAUAGCCGACCUGAGAAGGUGAUCGGCCACACUGGGACUGGGACACGGCCCAGACUCCUACGGGGGGGAGCAGUAGGGAAUCUUCGGCAAUUGGGGCAACCCUGACCGGGCAACGCCGCGGGAGUGAAGAAGGGUUUCGGAUCGUAAAGCUCUGUUGUAAGUCAAGAACGGGUGUGAGAGUGGAAAGUUCACACUGUGACGGUAGCUUACCAGAAAGGGACGGCUAACUACGUG